AUUGAACGCUGGCGGCAUGCCUUACACAUGCAAGUCGAACGGCAGCAUGGAGAGCUUGCUCUCUGAUGGCGAGUGGCGAACGGGUGAGUAAUGCAUCGGAACGUACCGUGUAAUGGGGGAUAACGUAGCGAAAGUUACGCUAAUACCGCAUACGACCUGAGGGUGAAAGCAGGGGAUCGCAAGACCUUGCGUUAUACGAGCGGCCGAUGUCAGAUUAGCUAGUUGGUGAGGUAAAGGCUCACCAAGGCGACGAUCUGUAGCGGGUCCGAGAGGAGGGGCCGCCACAAUGGGACUGAGACACGGCCCAGACUCCUACGGGAGGCAGCAGUGGGGAAUUUUGGACAAUGGGGGCAACCCUGAUCCAGCCAUGCCGCGUGAGUGAAGAAGGCCUUCAGGUUGUAAAGCUCUUUCGGCCGGGAAGAAAUCGCACAGGCUAAUACUCUGUGUGGAUGACGGUACCGGCAUAAGAAGCACCGGCUAACUACGUGCCAGCCGCCGCCGUAA
rnacentral:rRNA from 1 species